rnacentral:rRNA from 1 species
AGGGUCCGUAGGCGGGCUAUUAAGUCAGGGGUGAAAGUUUGCAGCUCAACUGUAAAAUUGCCUUUGAUACUGGUAGUCUUGAGUUAUAGUGAAGUGGUUAGAAUAUGUGGUGUAGCGGUGAAAUGCAUAGAUAUCACAUAGAAUACCAAUUGCGAAGGCAGAUCACUAACUAUAUACUGACGCUGAUGGACGAAAGCGUGGGGAGCGAACGGGAUUAGAUACCCCGGUAGUCCACGCCGUAAACGAUGGAUACUAGCUGUUGGAUUUUUUCAGUGGCUAAGCGAAAGUGAUAAGUAUCCCACCUGGGGAGUACGUUCGCAAGAAUGAAACUCAAAGGAAUUGACGGGGGCCCGCACAAGCGGUGGAGCAUGUGGUUUAAUUCGAUGAUACGCGAGGAACCUUACCAGGGCUUAAAUGGGAAAUGACAGGGGCAGAGACGCCCCCUUCUUCGGACAUUUUUCAAGGUGCUGCAUGGUUGUCGUCAGCUCGUGCCGUGAGGUGUCAGGUUAAAGUCCCUAUAAACGAGCGCAACCCCCUA